rnacentral:lncRNA from 1 species
GCUGCGUAGUAAAACCAGGGAUGGCGGCACGGACGUGGGAGGGACGCGGAGGCAGGGGGCCCCUCGGGCAGGGCCGGGAAACGGAGCCGCGCGGGGAGGGGGUAGCACGAGCCGAGGGGGGCUCCGAGGCGCUGGGGUCACUUGUAGGCUUCAGAGGCGGCCAGGGUGCAGCCCCCUGCGUGCCCACUGGGCGGUGCCUUGCUGGGGCGGCGGGAGGGAGGUUAUUUUUGCACAAGCUGCCUGCACCUGUGCCGUGCUGCAACUACAGCCGCAACCACUUAGAAGGACUCCGCUGCCCGCACCGGUGGUGAGCCUCACCUGAGCACCGCGAAGCUGUCAAGCCCCCACAGUGUGCCCCGCUGUGUCCCCCAUCCCUCCACGCCCGGCUGCAGCGCCAUCUUUGAGGGCCCCCCUGGAAGGAGCUGACCCAGAGGCCAGCCUGGCUGUGGAAGGAGUUGCCAGUCCAAGAGCACUGGGGAUGAAGCCAGGGCCUUGCAUGUGCCAGAUGAGCACUCUGCCGCUGAGCUGCACCCUGCCAAGUGUGACCUCGUCCUAAUUGUACCUGCAAAGACUCUGUUUCCAAACUCCCUACGGCUUUAUUCACAGCCAUGUGAGCAUUUUUGCCCUGGAUUCAGCACUAACCUGUGCUAGGCACCCCUGCCUGGCAGGACCACCCCCUGCAGUGGGCAGUCCCCGUACACAUGCCCAGCUCUUCCUGUCCGGCUCUGAAUAGCACCUCGGCAUGCCGGGGAGCCCCAGUGCUGAGCCUCCUGGGAACACAGGGACACCGAGGCACCGAAAGGGGCAACUUCACAUGUGCAGCAAGAGGAGGCCAAGGCUGGGACCCCAGCCCACCAUCCACACUGCCUCUGGCUGUGGCCCCUCCUGUGUCUGUGCAGAGGGGUGCAGCUGCAGGGGGGAGGGCUGCGCCCACCCCAGCUGGCCCAGAGAGCCGCUCGGCCCGGGAAGAAGCCCUGCCCCACAGUGCCACCCACCGCAGCUGUGCUUGGCAGGCCGGGGACAGUAAGUCCUGGCAGUUGCCAAAGCAACGCUGCCAUGGGGCAGAGGGCAGCCUGCCAAGGGUGCCCAGCCUUCCUGGGAAGGCAAGCCUGCUGCCCAAUGUUCAGAGCGGGCCGGGAGCCACCCACCCACCCAGAGGGCACACGGUGAUCUGGGAGGAGGCCACAUGGAGAGGCUCCUGGGGAGAGGAGCUAAUUCUCCUCCAUCCCCGUGCCCAGCAGGGGGGCGGUGUCCAGCAGGAGGCCCCCGCAUACCCUGCUGGCCAGCGCUCCAGACAGACGAUGGGCAGUGCCAGGCGGAGACCCCAGCCUGGGGAGGGGAUGUCUGUGCACAUGGGGGACAGGGGCCAGCAGUGUCAUCCAGAGCUGUGCAGUGGCCCCUGUGGGCCCUGCAGGGCUGCUGAACUCAGGGGACCAGGGCUGGGGCUGGAGGGGCAGCUCCAGGCAGGAAUGAAGCUGGAGGGGCUGCGGGGGACAGGCCAUCUGUCAGCUCGGGGCAGGUGCUGGCAGGAGAGUUGGAGCCCGUGCCAUCCCUCCAUCCGUCCACCAAGCUGCUGGCCCCUCCACCCCGCUGCCAGCCCCCACACGAGGCCUGGCUGCUCCCAUCCCGCUCUUCCUGGGGUUUUUGCUUUAUUAAACCAUCCUCACGCACUCUGUGGGUUUCCUUUCUUCAUUCUGGUGUAAUGAACAUAACAAAAUUAGCUACCUUAACAUGUGGCACCCAGGGGCGUUGACACCUUCACAGUGACUUGUGACCAGCACAACUGUCCAGCUCAGUGUUCUCCCUGUCCCAAGGGGAAACCUGACCCCACUGAACACCGACCGCCCUCCCCCUCCCUAGGCCUGGCCACCAGCCAUCAGUGCUCUCACUAUGGAUUUACCUAUUCUGGACCUUUCAUAAAAAUAGACUCCUACGUCCUGUCGUGUCUUCCGUGUGGCUUCCUUCACCCCACAUGUGUUCCUAAGCUCCUCCAUGUUGGGCUGAGCAAAUUCCAUCAUCUGGCUGGAACAUCUUCUUAGUCUGUUCACAUGUCACUGUUGGUGCAGCUGCUACUGAGGAGAUGCUGGCAUCCGGGGGAACCCUGCCCAGGGCUGCCUGGGAUGCCUGGGCUCAAGGCAAACCCUCUUGGAGAAUUCUGCAGGACCAGGGCCCUUCCACGGGGUGGCCAUCAUUCUGCUUAUAGGAACGUGGCCAAGGCAAGGGAGGUGCUUCUGGGACAGAGGCAAAGACAGCACGCUGGAGCCUCGUAAGGCCCAGCACAGAUGCUCAGUCCAGGAAGCUGCUGGAACACCCGAGCCCAGACACACAGGGAGUUUGUGACGCUGUGGAGUGAGGUGGCCUGUGGGAAAAGACAGCAGACAAAGCAGCUCGUGCAGGCCCUGGGUGUCGGUCACUGAGGGCGGAGGUUGCACAGCUAAACCAGGGUGGAAAAGGAGCUGCUCGGGCCUUUAUUUCCCUGUCACUAUUGAGAUGCAGUUCUGUUGCUGAAAUACAAAGAUGAAAGUCUUAGGCCUGGAAAGCAAAUGGGCAGUGAGGCAUCCCCUACAGAUAGGCCGUAGCCAGAGGGGCUUCUGAUGAGGGGUCCCUGCCCCGGUCCCCAAGGUCCCACUAUGGCAAUAGCCCUUCACAGGGUCCCCCAGAGAAGCCAGCUUGGCCCAACAGAGCCUCCUGCUCCUCCACGGCCUUAAUGUUACAGAGCAUCCUGGGCAUGGCUCCCUGGCCCCUGUAGUGGACACAGACAGCUGCUUGGCCUUGAUCACUCUAGGAGGCUCAGGUUCUCCUGCUGCUUCUCAGGCACUCGGGCCAGACUUGUUGUUUCCACUCAUAUCUUCAUCUCUUGUUUUACACGAAAGCACAGGAUAAGUUCCUAGAAAUACAAAACCUACCAAAUCUAAAGCACACAAAAUAGAAAACCCGGACAGACCUACAGCUAAUAAAGAGAUUGACUUAGUAGGCUGGGGAUUUAGCUCAGUGGUUUUGCCACCUGCUGUGCAAGCGCA